rnacentral:lncRNA from 1 species
UCUGGGGGUUCCUGGUCCCAUUUUGGGGUUCCAGGUCCUGUUUUGGGGCCACCAAAGGGCUUCCGUGAUGGUGACCCCAAAGAGGCCCCAUUUUGGGGUUUUUGGUGCCGUUUUGGUGCUCUCCGAUCCCAUUUUGAACUCCCCAAUCCCAUUUUGGUGUUCCCUGAUCCCAUUUCAGUGCUCCUGGCACCGUUCCGGUGCUCCCCGAUCCCAUUUCGGUGCUCCCCAAUCCCAUUCCGGUGCUCCCGGUGCAGUUUUGGCACUCCCAGUGCUGUUUUGGCACUCCCAGCGCCGUUCUGGUGCUCCCCAAUCCCAUUUUGGCACUCCUGGUGCUGUUCCUGUGCUCCCCAAUCCCAUUCCGGUGUUCCCGGUGCCGUUCCAGUGCUCCCCAAUCCCGUUUUGUCAUUCCCGGUGCCGUUUUGGCACUCCCGGUGCCGUUCCGGUGCCGUUCCAGUGCUCCCCAAUCCCGUUUUGUCACUCCCGGUGCCGUCCCGGUGCCGUUCCGGCGCUCCCGGUGCCGUUUUGGCUCUCCUGGUGCCAUCCCGGUGCCGUUUUGGUGCUCCCCAAUCCCAUUUUGGCGCUCCCAGUGCCGUUCUGGUGCUCCCCAAUCCCAUUUCGGUGCUUCCGGUGCCGUUUUGGCUCUCCCGGUGCCGUCCCGGUGCUGUUUUGGCUCUCCCGGUGCCAUUUUGGCUCUCCCGGUGCCGUCCCGGUGCCGUUUUGGCUCUCCCGGUGCCGUUUUGGCGCUCCCGGUGCCGUUCCAGUGCUCCCCAAUCCCAUUCCAGUGUUCCCGGUGCCGUUUUGGCUCUCCUGGUGCCGUCCCGGUGCCGUUUUGGCACUCCCGGUGCUGUUUUGGCUCUCCCGGUGCCGUCCCGGUGCCGUUUUGGUGCUCCGGUCCCUGAGGCAGCGCUCCCGCAGGUCCGGGGCUGGGCCCCACCAUCCAGCUGGGCGAGCAGACGCUGAUCACGGUGGACGCCAAGGCGGCCGGCAAGGGCAAGGUGACGUGCUCGGUGUGCACGCCCGACGGCUCCGAGGUGGACGUGGACGUGGUGGAGAACCCCGACGGCAC